rnacentral:lncRNA from 1 species
UUCUUCUUGUGACUAAAUAUUGUCAACAACAAUAAACGGUCAUUUCCAAUCUACGUGUUGUUAAAUCAUAUAUACCAGUAUUUAUGUCAUUCAAAUUUUUUGUCGUUUGUACACUCCCACGAGAUAAAGCUGACAUAUAGCAGCUGAGAAAACCAAAAUUAUCUUCUAAGUCAGAAGAGCGCAUUAAAAGUUCUCAGCAUGGAUUGGAUAGUCUAUAUAAAAUCGAUUGGAAUCUGAAGGCUAGUAUGUUCUUCUUAUCUGACCAUCACAAUAAAAUUAAUCAC